CCUACGGGAUGCAGCAGUAGGGAAUUUUCGUCAAUGGGCGCAAGCCUGAACGAGCAAUGCCGCGUGAACGAGGAAGGUCUUCGGAUCGUAAAGUUCUGUUGAAGGGGAAAAAGAGCGGAGAGAGGAAAUGCUUCCUGAUUGAUUUUACCCUUCGAGGACGUCACGGCUAACGACGUGCCAGCAGCCGCGGUAAUGCGUAGGUGGCGAGCGUUAUCCGGAUUGAUUGGGCGGAAAGGGUGCGUAGGCGGCCUGCUAAGUCUGGCGGGAAAGGUACCGGCUCAACCGGUACAUGCCCUGGAAACUGGCGGGCUAGAGAGCAGGAGAGGGAGGUGGAAUUCAAUGUGUAGCGGUAAAAUGCGUAGAUAUAUGGAAGAACACCAGUGGCGAAGGCGGCCGCCUGGCCUGUUACUGACGCUGAGGCACGAAAGCGUGGGGAGCAAAUAGGAUUAGAGACCCCUGUAGUC
rnacentral:rRNA from 1 species